UCUCUCACACACACACACACACACACACACACACACACACACGCUCAUACUCAGGUACAUGUUUGUACCCACAAUGACUAAGGAGGUCAUUGCCAAAUUCUGUAUUGCCAGGCUCUCCAGGCACAUCUGAGUUUCCUUGUGUCAAAAGGAGCGUUUCCAAGCUCAUUGGUCUGUUGCCAUGGAAACACUCAGGCUUCCAGAACUCUGGGCUAGGGCCUGCCCCCCAUGGUGCAGAGGAGGAGAAGAGAGCUGAAGGGUGACAGAAAGAAGAUCUCUCCAGGCCAAAGGAAUGGAAAAGAGAUGUCAAAACAAAGAUUUAUGGCCAGAACCAGGUGGAGGGUAUUAGAUCACUUCCUGGGUCACCAGGGGUUUUUGAGAGGUAAAUGGCUGUGGAUUCUCAAGAAAUCUCUGCCUAAGUCCAGCAUGUGUGCACACCUUCUGCCAACUCCCCACCAGAAGUGAUCAGACCUAGAAAGCACCGUUUUGUGACCAGGGUCAGGUACCCUCCCUGGAGCAGGGAGCAGGGAAAUUGCCAGGCUGACCCUGGGAAAACCUACAGACCAAGGGUUCCAACCUGAGCUUCUGAAAUGACAUCUGGAAAGGCUGAUGGAGCUAUUUAUUGAUCAGGAGUGAAAAGGGGCUCAAGUGGGAGUUGGGUUCAGGAGAAGGGAAGCUCACCUGGCUGCAGUGUUCCCUGGACUAGGCCACGAUGGCCUCUUGAGACCUGCUUCAGGCUUCCCUGCCCUUGUUUUCAUCCAGAGUACUGUGGAGUUGAAAGAGAAUACUAAGUCCCUAGUCCCCAAACUCUGAAAUCCCCAAGUAUUCUUGCAGGGGCUGAGGGUGGGGCUUCCCAGUGACCUAUCUUUCUCUGACCUCUCUCCCAAACUGACCCCACCAGCCCUAUAUCCUUGAUUAAUUACACUGUUUUUCUGUCCCAGCCAGAUGAGUGAUCAAUAAAUAAUGCUGC
rnacentral:lncRNA from 1 species